rnacentral:lncRNA from 1 species
GAUGAUAUAUAUGUGUUUCUAUAUGUGAUUUUGUUAUAUGAUGUUGAUUUGAAGAUUUGAGUGGGUAUAUGAGUUCUUGAGCAUGCUAUGAUGUUAAGUGAUGGUUUAGAUUGAUGAUUAGAAGUGAUGAAAUGAGUUUUGGGAUGAGUUGUUGUUGAGAAUUAUGAUGUUAUAUUCAAGUUAGAGAUAUUAUUAAGAUAUAUAAGUUUUAAAUACAAAUUGGAGAAUUUCGUAGGCCUAC